UUUAAACGCAACCAUAAAUUUUCGCGUCCAUCUUAUUUGAAUUUUUUAAUACUAUUUUUUUUGUUAUUAGAUGAUAAAACAUAAAUAGUGCUUUAUGUGUGACUUAUGUUUUUUAAUUUUUUUAAAUAAGAUGGCGAUUAAAAUUGAACACGAAAACUUAUGACUACACUUAAG
rnacentral:pre_miRNA from 1 species